UUCUUAUCCCGCCUCUUCCCUCCCCGUCUCUUUCAACCAUUACUCUCCCACUUGUAAAAAGCAUCCUACUGUUUGCAUCCAUAUCUACUUUCUGAAUCUUUGAAGCUUCAAUGUCAGAAACGUGCUUUUGCGAUGUAUCUCAGGAUACAACUUUGCCUCACAAAUCAACCUGAUGAGGUCUCUCCUGCGUAUCAUCUUCUUCACAUAACAGGCCAGGGCUUUUUCAGCACCAUGCCUUGUUCUUUCCCAGGUUGCCUCCUGGAGAGGCUGAUGAAGAAUAAGGCGGGCCGGUGGGGGAAGGUGGUUGACAGAAGAUAGAGAGCACAAGUGAACAUACCCAAAAGGCCUGUUUGUGUUUGUGCAGUCUUGUGCUCUUUUUUCUUCUGCCAACAUGAAGUACUUUCUUCCCCAAACUUCUUAUUUAAGCUCGCUGCACCAUAACCUCUUCUUCUUGUCGUCUGACCAGCCAUCUUAUGUCACUAUCACCCAUCAAUGGAGUAACGCCUGCCUGCAAGGUAUGAUCCCGUUGAUGCUUGUUAAUUCUUUUUCCCCGUUAAUUUUGGUGAGAUGUGUAUAAUUGGGGACCGCCACUUAUUUAACUUGCCGUGCUAUAAAAUAUAAGACAGGUCACCAACUAGGGUCCCUUCGCCUUUGCUCAUUACUGACUAGAUUCAGACACGGCGAGAGUAGGGUUGGGCACAGUUAAACGAGGAUGAAAUGUUUUUAGAGGUGUUUGAUAUAUAUAGACUGGGGGAGUUCGUCAAAGAUGUGCCGUCAUUGCAGACAAGAAGCGAGAGGGUUGUUCAAACAUAGAGGCCAGAUCGGAGAAACCUUAAAAGCAUCGUCUAUGCAUAGACACUUUUUUUUUUUUAAAAAAUUUACCUAUGAUACACGGAAUCUGGCGUGGCCAUGGAUCAAAACAGUUGAGUUCUUGGCAUUAUUCCCAUGUUAUUCUCCCUCACCUCACCUGUUUUUGCCUGCGUCUUUAGAGGCUCUAGGCCCGUAUUGUGAUGGUGAUUUUUCAUGUUCGUUCAAAUCUCACUGAUCCACCCUAUUCCCGGAAUCCAUAUCAAAUAAUAUAUGUGUGUCAUGUUUUAGUGCAGUACUCCAGCAUGAUGUUGCUGUGAGGAGCUUUUUUUCUUAAUCUUGCUGAUAAUAUAUGUUUUGAAAUAAAUAAAACAAGACUGGAAUUUGUAUGGCG